GACGUCAGUACAUGACGUCAGGCACUUCCUCGCCGGCAAACGCGCGCAUAUAUAUGCUUGCAAACACAUCCACGUGCAUCUCACACCUCUUGCUGCUUACGCCAAGUCGUAUCUCGACGCAGACGCUUCCAUCAUGAAUACGUUGACGAUCGUGUUGGUGGCGGCAUUCGCUGUAGUCGCGAGCGGAAUGAAAGACGGCCAUCCCAAUGACCAGGAGUUCCACCACACUCUUCAUGAAGCUAAAACGAUGUGCAUGGAUAUUAUGAUGCCAUCCCAAGACGAAAUGAGUAACAUGAAAGAAAAAAUGAAAGAGUGCCUCGAAAAAGA